GUGCCAGCAGCCGCGGUAAUACGGGGGGUGCAAGCGUUGUUCGGAAUUAUUGGGCGUAAAGAGCGUGUAGGCGGCUUGGUAAGUCAGAUGUGAAAGCCCUGGGCUUAACCCAGGAAGUGCAUUUGAUACUGUCAUGCUAGAGUAGGGGAGAGGAAAGCGGAAUUCCUGGUGUAGAGGUGAAAUUCGUAGAUAUCAGGAGGAACACCGGUGGCGAAGGCGGCUUUCUGGCCCUAUACUGACGCUGAGACGCGAGAGCGUGGGGAGCAAACAGGAUUAGAUACCCCCGUAGUCC
rnacentral:rRNA from 1 species